UACGGGGGGGGCAAGCGUUGUUCGGAAUUACGGGGCGUAAAGGGCUCGUAGGCGGCCAACUAAGUCGGACGUGAAAUCCCUCGGCUUAACCGGGGAACUGCGUCCGAUACUGGAUGGCUUGAGUUCGGGAGAGGGAUGCGGAAUUCCAGGUGUAGCGGUGAAAUGCGUAGAUAUCUGGAGGAACACCGGUGGCGAAGGCGGCAUCCUGGACCGACACUGACGCUGAGGAGCGAAAGCCAGGGGAGCAAACGGG
rnacentral:rRNA from 1 species